UGGGGAAUAUUGCACAAUGGGCGCAAGCCUGAUGCAGCCAUGCCGCGUGUGUGAAGAAGGCCUUCGGGUUGUAAAGCACUUUCAGCGGGGAGGAAGGCGUUAAGGUUAAUAACCUUGGCGAUUGACGUUACCCGCAGAAGAAGCACCGGCUAACUCCGUGCCAGCAGCCGCGGUAAUACGGAGGGUGCAAGCGUUAAUCGGAAUUACUGGGCGUAAAGCGCACGCAGGCGGUGUGUCAAGUCGGAUGUGAAAUCCCCGGGCUCAACCUGGGAACUGCAUUCGAAACUGGCAGGCUAGAGUCUUGUAGAGGGGGGUAGAAUUCCAGGUGUAGCGGUGAAAUGCGUAGAGAUCUGGAGGAAUACCGGUGGCGAAGGCGGCCCCCUGGACAAAGACUGACGCUCAGGUGCGAAAGCGUGGGGAGCAAACAGG
rnacentral:rRNA from 1 species